rnacentral:rRNA from 1 species
CCAGCCCGCUCAGAAACUCAAAUGAAUUGACGGGGCCGCACAAGCGGUGGAGUAUGUGGUUUAAUUCGAUGCAACGCGAAGAACCUUACCUGGUCUUGACAUCCCGGAGACCCUUAGGAAACUAGGGGGUGCUUCCAUCUGGAAGAAUCUGGAGACAGGUGCUGCAUGGCUGUCGUCAGCUCGCGUCGUGAGAUGUUGGGUUAAGUCCCGCAACGAGCGCAACCCUUGCCUUUAGUUGCCAGCAGUUCGGCUGGGCACUCUAAAGGGACUGCCGGUGUUAAACCGGAGGAAGGUGGGGAUGACGUCAAGUCCUCAUGGCCUUUAUGACCAGGGCUACACACGUACUACAAUGGCCGAUACAAAGGGCAGCGACACUGCGAGGUGAAGCCAAUCCCGUAAAAUCGGUCUCAGUCCGGAUUGGAGUCUGCAACUCGACUCCAUGAAGUUGGAAUCGCUAGUAAUCGUGGAUCAGCAUGCCACGGUGAAUACGUUCCCGGGCCUU